rnacentral:rRNA from 1 species
UACAGAGGGUGCGAGCGUUAAUCGGAAUUACUGGGCGUAAAGCGUGCGUAGACGGCUAUCUAAGUCGGGUGUGAAAGCCCCGGGCUCAACCUGGGAAUUGCAUUCGAGACUGAAUAGCUAGGGUACGGUAGAGGGAAGUGGAAUUUCCGGUGUAGCGGUGAAAUGCGUAGAUAUCAAGCAGAACACCUGCGGCGAAGGCGGCCUUCUGGACGAUGACUGACGCUGAGACGCGAAAGCGUGGGGAGCGAACAGG